rnacentral:misc_RNA from 1 species
GUCAAAGCAGAGCUUUGGCUGUGUUUGCUGUCUUGACUUGAAUUUCGAUCAGUCCUAGUCUGAUUUAAUAAAUCAAAUCCUUGGUUAAAUGAAUUCACGUUCAAAUGGCCAUUGACAAUGGAUCCUGAUGAUGUAACCUCAAUAUUCUCGUUUGCAACCUUAUUCAUCUUGGAAAAAUCUUUUAGCGUCGGUUCUUCAGAGAAUGUUGCUGUUGCUUCAGUUUCACUUGUUUGCAUUUGAUCUGACUCCAGGCUGCUGCAUGGCUUUGAUCCAUCACCAGUCAGCUGCAGUGGUAAUAGGUCUGCUUCAAUGAAGAGCCG